rnacentral:lncRNA from 1 species
AUGAAUAUCUUAAAUAUAGUGAAAUGUUCUGUUUCCCACAAAAAGGCCCUAAGAGAGAUCUACGCCCUUGGCCACCAGAGUCUCCAGUCUUGUCACCCAACCAGAUGUAAGAAAUUUGAAGAAAAAACUGAAGUUACUCAAUUCUCCACGGUCCUCUCUUUGCUCACCUUACAGCUCAGCCUCUCUGAACAGAAGGCUGACGUCAUUCCUGUGGUAUGUGCGUUUCAAUCCUUUUUCCUGUCCUUUUCCAUCUUCACUAAAACAUCCUUCCCUUGGGUUUCUUUCUUUCUCAUUCUCUUGCUCUCAUUCUCAGUCUCCUGUUCACUCUUGCUCUUUCUUCCUAUAAACAACAAUAUAAAUGACCACUUAGCUGGAGCUGCAUAGCGUAUUCUUGGUCUUUAUGGGGACAGCAUGCUCCAUAAUGAAUCGCCUUUGUGGAAAAGUGCAAUCCCUGUAAUUAGGAGCACUUUGACAGAGAACUCAGGCUCUAUAACUCAGGGAAUCACAAGCGUUUCUGCUCUGGCAAAGUUCAGUUUAAUGCAAAAGAAACAUGUGUUUCCUGUCCCUUAUUCUAAAUCGAUUGAGCCAUUCGUCUAAUUUAAACACUCUGUAAAUUACAUACAUCUUCCAAAGAUAGGAGUGAGGUCGACAUACUUGAUAUAUGCUUUUUCAUAUGGCUUGAAUCCAUCACUGCCUUCCACAAGGCCCCUUAGCUUUAUCCUGAGUGGAUGGAGGCCCCAUAAUUCUCUGAUCUACUCCAUUUUCUCUGACACCCCUUAGGAUCCUUGUUCAGACAAUUUGGCCAAAGAAUCACGGCUGACUUUCAGAAGGCAUGGAUUGAAGGCUAACCCGGCCCAGCAUCCCUUCCUAUCUUAUAUUUUAUUAGCACAACAAUCAAACCCUCUUCAAUUUGUCUUCUCAUUCUGUCCAUUAUUAUAAGAGACUUGAUGAGGGAAAAGUCAAGGAAAGUAGAUUGGAUAUGGAUGUUCUGACAUGCAGUUAUGCACCGUUUAGCACAACUGAAUUUUAGAAGAAAAAGAAAAAAAAAAAAAAAAAAAUACCUCUUCUUUCAAUUAUUCAGUUUCACUGGCAUCUGAGCCUUCAAGAAGAGUUAAGACUCUUCCAAAUUCUCUUUGGAUUUUAGCAUCUCCAGCUGCAGGUUCCCUCGACUUCUCAGUUCUUGUUAAGGAAACUGUGGUCUAGCUAUCACUGAGACUCCCUCUCAUUAUAAAUCAGCGAAAAUUCAUUUCAUUUUAGUUUUUUUUUUUUUAGAGCUGAUCUUUGUUCUCAUGCCCAUCCAUUACACAAUAUAUUAAAAGGAUAUACAAACAGGAAGAGAAAUAAGAGCUCAGAGAAUUCAAGCCCCUUAUUUUGUAAAUACACUGAAAACAGGCAACUGAUAUAUAGAUAGAACUAAAAUUCUUGAAUAUUUGUUCCUUUUCUAGGUGUUAGAAAAUAUAAUAAAAUCACAAAUAAGACAAGCCUAUAAUCA